rnacentral:rRNA from 1 species
CAAGAGCGUAUGUAAAAGUUGUUGCAGUUAAAAAGCUCGUAGUUGAACCUUGGGUUUGGUUGGCCGGUCCGCUUUUUUGCGAGUACUGGAUUCAACCGAGCCUUUCCUUCUGGCUAACCAGUCGUUUCGGCGGCUGGCGAACCAGGAUUUUUACUUUGAGAAAAUUAGAGUGUUCAAAGCAGGCAUUAGCUUGAAUAUAUUAGCAUGGAAUAAUAGAAUAGGACGUUAUGGUUCUAUUUUGUUGGUUUCUAGGACCAUCGUAAUGAUUAAUAGGGACGGUCGGGGGCAUCAGUAUUCAGUUGUCAGAGGUGAAAUUCUUGGAUUUACUGAAGACUAGCUACUGCGAAAGCAUUUGCCAAGGACGUUUUCAUUAA